CGAAUGCUGACAUAAGUAACGAUAAAGCGGGUGAAAAGCCCGCUCGCCGGAAGACCAAGGGUUCCUGUCCAACGUUAAUCGGGGCAGGGUGAGUCGACCCCUAAGGCGAGGCCGAAAGGCGUAGUCGAUGGGAAACAGGUUAAUAUUCCUGUACUUGGUGUUACUGCGAAGGGGGGACGGAGAAGGCUAUGUUGGCCGGGCGACGGUUGUCCCGGUUUAAGCGUGUAGGCUGGUUUUCCAGGCAAAUCCGGAAAAUCAAGGCUGAGGCGUGAUGACGAGGCACUACGGUGCUGAAGCAACAAAUGCCCUGCUUCCAGGAAAAGCCUCUAAGCAUCAGGUAACAUCAAAUCGUACCCCAAACCGACACAGGUGGUCAGGUAGAGAAUACCAAGGCGCUUGAGAGAACUCGGGUGAAGGAACUAGGCAAAAUGGUGCCGUAACUUCGGGAGAAGGCACGCUGAUAUGUAGGUGAAGUCCCUCGCGGAUGGAGCUGAAAUCAGUCGAAGAUACCAGCUGGCUGCAACUGUUUAUUAAAAACACAGCACUGUGCAAACACGAAAGUGGACGUAUACGGUGUGACGCCUGCCCGGUGCCGGAAGGUUAAUUGAUGGGGUUAGCGCAAGCGAAGCU
rnacentral:rRNA from 1 species